GAGUGCUACUAUCUUUUUAAUUUAAAAAUGUCAACUAAUAGAUGCUGAAUUUCUUAAAUUGCAUUAUCUGCUAAUACUAAUAUUUCCAUAAGCACUAGUUAUAAGUUAUCCAUAAUGAAAGAUAUGGUGAUUUAGUUGUUAUAUUUUUUCUCUAGGUUGUUUGUACUGAAGGACCUGACAGAAUCAGGGAAUUGAUAGCUAUGGGUGCAAUGUUUGAUCAUGGUGAGGACGGUAACCUGCACCUAGCAAGGGAGGGGGGUCACUCUCACCAUAGAAUUGUCCAUGCUGCCGAUAUGACAGGAAGGGAGAUUGAGCGAGCUCUGCUUGAGGCAGUUGUUAAUGAUCCUAAAAUAUCCAUGUUUGAACACCACUUUGCGAUAGAUUUGCUAACUUCUCAGGUUCACUUCUUGAUACUCUUUUUGUCUGUAGGUAUAAUUUAGAUAUUCAAAUAUUUGGUUCAAUAAUUUCUAGAAAUAAUUAGGUCUUGUUAUAAUAUUUUAUUAAUUUUUUCAAAUAGUGAAUUCAGUAACAUAAUUACUUCAAAUUUUUUAAAUGAUUCCGGGUUGAGAGCUUGUAGAUUCCUGUUUCAUGUCUUUACUGACAUGAAAGCCACAACUAGUCCCCUAAAUAGCAUCUGAUAGAUGCUUUUGUGGCUCCUAAAACUUCUUAAUAGUUGUUUCUUACAGCUUUGGCUCAAUGGUGUUUGAUUAUAUUACACCAUAAAAAUAUGUUCUAGUAGAGAAUUUUCAACCAUGCUGUUUUUUUAUGGCUGCAAGCUGGUGCUUUAUAAGAGGGAGGAUGUCUUUUAACCUGAAGCAGGUUUUCCUACAUGCCUUUUUCUUCUUGGAUAAUAUCCUCGUACUGUUGUGUAAGGGUGUCGUGAUGACAGUGAGACAAUCAUAAUUCAUGAUAUAUAUUGUGUCAAAGCUUUCCAAAUAUAUUCUUGGUUAUUAUUUAUUUUGUGGUGGAUGUAAAUCUUCUAGGUCACAUGGAGUAUCCAAGAUAUUGCAAAUCCAAAAAUGUAAUUGUUCUCAAUUUACCAUUGGAGAGCAUUGGAGAUCCCUCAGAAUGAGACCAGUUAGUGUGUCAUCUUGCUUGAGAGAUGGUUCCACUAGGUAUUUUGAUUUUGUUGUCAUUGGAAGUGGAGUUGCUGGCCUUCGCUAUGCUCUUGAAGUUGCAAAACAUGGAACUGUUGCAGUGAUCACCAAGGCUGAGCCUCAUGAGAGCAAUACAAACUAUGCCCAAGGUGGUGUUAGUGCUGUGUUGUGUCCUUUGGAUUCUGUGGAGAGUCACAUGCAGGACACCAUUGUAGCUGGGGCUAAUCUAUGUGAUGAGGAGACUGUCAGAGUAAGAAUUUUUCAUUAUGAUUCUUCUUAGUGCUAUUCUGAGUGCUACUAUCUUUUUAAUUUAAAAAUGUCAACUAAUAGAUGCUGAAUUUCUUAAAUUGCAUUAUCUGCUAAUACUAAUAUUUCCAUAAGCACUAGUUAUAAGUUAUCCAUAAUGAAAGAUAUGGUGAUUUAGUUGUUAUAUUUUUUCUCUAGGUUGUUUGUACUGAAGGACCUGACAGAAUCAGGGAAUUGAUAGCUAUGGGUGCAAUGUUUGAUCAUGGUGAGGACGGUAACCUGCACCUAGCAAGGGAGGGGGGUCACUCUCACCAUAGAAUUGUCCAUGCUGCCGAUAUGACAGGAAGGGAGAUUGAGCGAGCUCUGCUUGAGGCAGUUGUUAAUGAUCCUAAAAUAUCCAUGUUUGAACACCACUUUGCGAUAGAUUUGCUAACUUCUCAGGUUCACUUCUUGAUACUCUUUUUG
rnacentral:lncRNA from 1 species